rnacentral:rRNA from 1 species
GGGUGAUUAAAAUUUAUAUAAUGAUUUUAAAUAUCUCGAAAAUAAGGGAGCUAAAUUUAUAUUAUUUUUUUUGUAGCAAUAAAAUUAUAUAUAUAGAUUUAGAAAUUAAAUGUUAAACGAACUUAUUAAUAUCUAGUCUUCUUAGAAAUAAAUUUAAUUUAGAUAUAAUUAUUUUAGUAAAUUAAAUUUUAUUUUAAUUUAUUAAUUUUUAUAUUAAAAAUUUAUGGGAUAAUCUAUAAAUUUAAGAUAAAAAUUUAAUUUUAAUUUUUAAUGUUAUAGAGAUAAUAUUUUUCUUUAAUUUUAAUAAUUUAAUAAUUUAAUAUUUAUAAAUUAAUAAUGAUUUAAAUUUAUAUUUUAUUUUUCUAUAAAAAUUUAUAUUUUAAUUAAUAAAAUAUAGAAAUAAUGAUUAGAUUAGUAAUAAAGUUAUAUUUUAUAAUGAUAUUUUGUAUUAUAUAAUUUAAAGGAAUUCGGCAAAUAUAUUAUUCACCUGUUUAUCAAAAACAUGUCCUGUUGAUUAUAAUUUUAGGUCGAUCUGCUCAAUGAAUUAUUUUAAAUAGCUGCAGUAUGUUGACUGUACAAAGGUAGCAUAAUAAAUUGUCUUUUAAUUGAAGAAUUGUAUGAAAGAAUUAAUGAAAUAAUAACUGUCUCUAAAUUAUUAAAUGAAUUUAAAUUUUUAGUUAAAAUUCUAAAAUUUAAUUAUGGGACGAUAAGACCCUAUAGAAUUUAAUUUAAUUUUUAAAUUUAUUUAUAAUUUUAAUAAAUAUAUUUAAGAUUAAAUUUGAUUGGGAGGAUUGGUAAAUUUAAUAAACUUUAUUUAAGAUUUAAUUUUGAUAUAAAGAUAAUUUUUUGAAUUAUAAAUUGUAAUUAAAAGAAUAAAUUACCUUAGGGAUAACAGCGUAAUA